GGAGAGGAGUGUUCUGAUGGUGCUUGAUUGGAGCUCCGACAAUUGUAGACGAUGACGGCUAGGGUUCAUUCAGGGAAGAAGAAAAAAAAAGAAAAAGAAAUUGGGAAGAAGUAAAAUAGGGAAAAUAGAAAGAAAGUAGAAAUAGUUUUUAAAAUAAUUUUAUUGAUUUUUAAUAUAUAAUUUUUAAAAAAAUAUACAAUCGUGAGCUCUCAUCCCAAUAUAUAUUUUAAUAGCGC
rnacentral:lncRNA from 1 species